AAUUGUAAGUCUAUAAUUUAUAAAUUAAUUAGAUUUAAGUCGUUUCUUUUAAAUUAUUUAGUUUAAGCUUGGUUUGGCUUGGUAUUAUAGCAUUGAGGAUAGGUUGUAAUAUAAUUUCUUUUUUAAUUGUUAUAAAUUCGUAAUUCGUAGCUUUCUUUAACUCUUUAGUUUUAAGUUAGUUUUCAUCUUAAGUUCGGAAAGAUUAUAAUAUUUCUUUAGUUUAAGUCCGUUUUUAAACUAUUUUUUCAAUGCCCUAAGUGAGUAUACAUCUAUUAAAUUCAAACGCAGAGCUCAUUAUGUUGAUUUUUGAGGAGUUCCUUAGAAUAUUUUCCACAUCUAAUUUUUGAAGAGAUCCCGCGAAAUCGGGAACUAUGUGGUUAAAACCAAAAAUUUGCCGGAAGUCACUAUUCCACACGAACGAAGUCGCGGGCUAUAAUAAAUCUGUAGAAGGGUCAAUUCUGUUCAUUGAAAAUAUAGAAAAAAUAAAUAGCACAUGUUACUGGGUCGAUACCAAACCCAAAUAUGUGAUUAUUAUUUUUUUGUCUGUCUGUCUAUACAUAUAUGUUCAGGCAUCACGUGAAAACUAACGGUUUGAUUUCGAUGAAACUUGGUAUAAUUAACUUAUUAUCCUGGACAUAAAAUAGGUUACUUUUUAUCCUGGAAAAAUACGUAGAAAAAAAUCUUUAUUUUUCAGUUUUAUUCUGCUCAACAGCAGUAGCUCAAUAGAGGGAUCUCCUUAAUUAUUAUGGGCCUUGCCGUAUUUGGGUCCAAUAGAUAUUUAUAAGAUGUCAUUUUCACAGUUACUCAAAAUGGAGAAAUAAAACUUCCACGCGAAGACCGACAUCCGCGCGGACGGAGUCGCGGGCAGAAGCUAGUAAUAUAAUAUAAUAUGACUUACUGUCACUCAUUUACUUGUAUAAAAUGUUUAAUUAUUUGUUGCACAUACCUCUGGUACCUACAUUACAGUUGUACAUUUACAAUGACUGUUUUCUAACUAUUAUUUUACCUACCUUAGACUUUGGAUUUUAUUAGAAAUCUCAUUUGGGUAUUAGUUAGUACAGCAUUUUACUUAUCUAUGUGUUUAUAAAUUUCAUAUUAACGAGAAUGGGACGGCGGCAACGGCAGCAGCGGCUUCAAUGGCCGCAGCAGCUGCAGCCUGUAGCGGUAGUGGCAGGCGUGGCAGCAACAGUAGCAGCGGUGCGGCGGCGGCUGUCUCCGUCAUCUUCCAGCGCCGGAGAAAAAAAAAAAACAGUUUCAGGAAGCCACCAGCUGUCUACCCGCCCUGCCGACUGUCCUGGUGACACCCUGGGGGAGCGACAUCCAACCAUCUCACCCAACGCAGCCGCACCCACGGCACAGAAUACUACCACGGCCGCUUAGGUCAAACUUAUCAUAAUGUUAACGCAACGGUACACAAAAAUCAAGUAGCUAGGUACUUAUGACGGAAAAUUUCUCCUUAAAAUUAUUAUGUUUUGUGGUUGACUCACAAUAUUUUAUAGAAUAAUUUUCAGUAGGUACUCUCACUCAUGUCUGAUUAAAAAAAAAGUUAAUAUUAUUAUCUAUCUAUUUAACAAAAAACGAGUCUUAUAAAUCGGUAUAGAAACACCAAAGCUCUACAUGAAAUACGUUAACUAGCUAGCUCUAACAAGCCAUCGCGCGUCAUUAUUUUUGUGUAACGGAAGGACUACUAUACUUUUCUGCCUGAAAUUACUAGUACUUAUAUUAAAUUCAAACCAAGUUGCAUAAAAAUUGUCUAAUUAAAUGUUAGUAAACAUUAGAAACAAA